AACGCACAUUGCGCCUUUUGGUAUUCCGAGAGGCAUAUCUGUUCGAGCGCCGUUUUCAAUCUCAAGCUUCAGCUUGGUGUUGGGAGUAAUCGCUAGAUUGCUCCUUAAACUUAUUGGCAUUUCAAGUCCUGCAGGGUAUAGCUUGACAAAAACCUCGCUAGACCUCAGCUCUUGGGAUUGCCUAUGAAUCGAAAAUGAUGGCCUCGGAUCAGAUAGGGUUACCCGCUGAACUUAA
rnacentral:misc_RNA from 1 species